rnacentral:rRNA from 2 species
UCCUGGCUCAGGAUGAACGCUGGCGGCGUGCCUAAUACAUGCAAGUCGAGCGAACUGAUUAGAAGCUUGCUUCUAUGACGUUAGCGGCGGACGGGUGAGUAACACGUGGGCAACCUGCCUGUAAGACUGGGAUAACUUCGGGAAACCGAAGCUAAUACCGGAUAGGAUCUUCUCCUUCAUGGGAGAUGAUUGAAAGAUGGUUUCGGCUAUCACUUACAGAUGGGCCCGCGGUGCAUUAGCUAGUUGGUGAGGUAACGGCUCACCAAGGCAACGAUGCAUAGCCGACCUGAGAGGGUGAUCGGCCACACUGGGACUGAGACACGGCCCAGACUCCUACGGGAGGCAGCAGUAGGGAAUCUUCCGCAAUGGACGAAAGUCUGACGGAGCAACGCCGCGUGAGUGAUGAAGGCUUUCGGGUCGUAAAACUCUGUUGUUAGGGAAGAACAAGUACGAGAGUAACUGCUCGUACCUUGACGGUACCUAACCAGAAAGCCACGGCUAACUACGUGCCAGCAGCCGCGGUAAUACGUAGGUGGCAAGCGUUAUCCGGAAUUAUUGGGCGUAAAGCGCGCGCAGGCGGUUUCUUAAGUCUGAUGUGAAAGCCCACGGCUCAACCGUGGAGGGUCAUUGGAAACUGGGGAACUUGAGUGCAGAAGAGAAAAGCGGAAUUCCACGGUGCGUGAAGCGUAGAGAUGUGGAGGAACACCAGUGGCGAAGGCGGCUUUUGGUCUGUAACGACGCGAGGCGCGAAAAC